UUUCAAAUAAGUAAUAAAAAUUCUUAAAGAAAUAUUAGAAGGAUCAUAAAUAUCACUCAAAUAAAUCUCAAUUCAAUCUUAAUUUAAUUCUAGUUAAAAUCCUAUUGAACUUCAUUCAAACUUUAGGCCAAAAUUAAUUGAAUCUUAAAUCUUAAUAAAAUCCUAAAUCCUGAAUCAAACCUUAAACAAAUCUUAAACCAAACUCCAACCAAAUUCUAAACCAAAUCCUAGCCAAAUCCUAAAUAAAACCCUAAUCAAAUUCUAAACCCUAAAUCAAACCCUAACCAACUUCUAAACUAAAUCCUAGUAAUUCCUAUAACAGAUUUAAACCUCAAUAACUAAUGAAUAAACUGUUGAUCUUAAUUUAAUUUUUUCACACUUUUAAAUAAAUAAAUUAGAUAAAAGCACAAAAAAAUUGAAAAGAAUCGGAGUUACCAAAUUGACGAUAACCUCAAAAAUUAACUUAGGUAUUGGCCAGCCUCCUUCUCCAAUCUUAAUGCCAAUCUUCCAAAGCCAAUAUCUCUCCUUUGCAUCGUUCGAUUGAUCUCAAAAUUUUCAUACACAUAGAAAAAAAAGUUUAAUAU
rnacentral:lncRNA from 1 species